AUUGAACGCUGGCGGCAGGCCUAACACAUGCAAGUCGAGCGGGGUUUUCGGACCUAGCGGCGGACGGGUGAGUAAUGCUUAGGAAUCUGCCUAUUAGUGGGGGACAACAUUCCGAAAGGAAUGCUAAUACCGCAUACGUCCUACGGGAGAAAGCAGGGGAUCUUCGGACCUUGCGCUAAUAGAUGAGCCUAAGUCGGAUUAGCUAGUUGGUGGGGUAAAGGCCUACCAAGGCGACGAUCUGUAGCGGGUCUGAGAGGAUGAUCCGCCACACUGGGACUGAGACACGGCCCAGACUCCUACGGGAGGCAGCAGUGGGGAAUAUUGGACAAUGGGGGGAACCCUGAUCCAGCCAUGCCGCGUGUGUGAAGAAGGCCUUAUGGUUGUAAAGCACUUUAAGCGAGGAGGAGGCUACUGAGACUAAUACUCUUGGAUAGUGGACGUUACUCGCAGAAUAAGCACCGGCUAACUCUGUGCCAGCCGCCGCGGUAAUAC
rnacentral:rRNA from 1 species